rnacentral:rRNA from 1 species
AUGCAAAAAGUCUUGGGUGGGUUUGUUAGAACCUACGCUUUUGACGAAUUAUCCAAUGACAAUGUCCGUGACGGCACAAUGACAAUUGAGUAUGAUGAUGAGCGGUCUGAUACUCACCCUAUCACAGUACUGAUCUUAGAGAAUGCAGACAACACUAGUGAGACUGGAGAUUACAUUGUUGCGCAUACUGAGAAUCUUUCUAGAUAUGGUGGUGACUUAAUUGUGCGACCAUAUUUCAGUACGUUUGCCAUUAAAAUCCAGCAAUAUAUAGUAGCCUAUGAGCCAUUCAGACCCAACUAUAUUCAGGCAAUACACAGGGAACCAUUUUUUUCUGCUGAUGGGCGCUUGUCAGAAUCUUGGCGAAACAGGAUGAGGUCAUUCAUACAACUUCUCCAUUAUGCGGCAAAGCGCAAAAUCACACAUGGUAGUCUCUCAGACCCUACCAGCUAUGUGACUUGCCGUGAGGAUCUGAAGAUAAUUAGUGUGGGGCGACGUGCUCGUGGAAAAUACGUUGUCGGGAAAGACAUGGAAGAUCUUAUGGCUCUUAUAUCUACACAAUUCCCCCCGAGUUUGACUAACGACGAGUGGGGAACCCUGAAGAAGCUUCUGCUUUCACAGACCAUGAGGGACCCAGUUAGAGUCCAUGCUUAUCAUACUUAUUACUGUCGUGACUGGCUAGCAGCUGCCUUGCGGCACCCAACUUUAUUGGGCACCACCGAAGAAAUACUGGAAUGUUUUGUACAUCUCCACUCAGAUGCGAUGGGGCUGGACGAUAUCACUGGGGAGAAAGCUAGGUUCUCUAAUAGGAUUUACAAGGACUACCAGCAAUUUAGAAGUUACUUCCGUCGCGACGUCACCAAUGACGCAGUGGAUAACGAGUAUGAUUUCCGUACUAAUGGAGUUGUUCCGUUUGAUGGAGUUUACAAAGCCCUCUUCACAUUCACACACAGCAGUUAUAUGGUACUGAAAGAGGACCCUCGCUAUCCAAAAACAAUGAAUGACUUCGUAUACAACGAUCGUGAUAGUUACUGGUCACCUAAUUAUGGUUCACGAUUUAUCUAUAUCAAUGUCCUUAGGUUGGUUCAGAAUCUGAUAAAGCAUGGAGUUCAACAGGAUCCGCGUUUUAACAAUCAGGACUAUCUCCUCGCUGAGAUCAAAACUCGUUUCAAACAUUUUAUGUAUGCUUGCUACACCCUCCUAAACAUGAGGGAGGAUUGGAUUACUAAGAUAACGCGCAAUCCAUAUAAAUAG